rnacentral:rRNA from 1 species
UACGUAGGGUGCGAGCGUUAAUCGGAUUUACUGGGCGUAAAGCGUGCGCAGGCGGCCCGUUAAGACAGGUGUGAAAUCCCUGGGCUCAACCUAGGAAUUGCGCUUGUGACUGUAUAGCUAGAGUACGGCAGAGGGGGAUGGAAUUCCGCGUGUAGCAGUGAAAUGCGUAGAGAUCAGGAGGAACACCGAUGGCGAAGGCAGCCCCCUGGGCCUGUACUGACGCUCAUGCACGAAAGCGUGGGGAGCAAACAGG